rnacentral:misc_RNA from 1 species
GAAAUGCGAUAAGUAGUGUGAAUUACAGAAUUCAGUGAAUCAUCGAAUCUUUGAACGCACAUUGCGCCCUUUGGUAUUCCUUAGGGCAUGCCUGUUCGAGCGUCAUCUAAACCUUCAAGCCCUGCUUGGUGUUGGGUGCCUGUCCCGCCUCCGCGCGCGGACUCACCUCAAAUCCAUUGGCGGCCCCCGCGUCGGCCACGAGCGCAGCAGAAAUGCGAACUCGUGAGCCCGUCCGGGCGGCUCCCAGAAGCUACACCCACCCAGUUUGACCUCGGAUCAGGUAGGGAUACCCGCUGAACUUAAGC